rnacentral:rRNA from 1 species
AUUGAACGCUGGCGGCAGGCCUAACACAUGCAAGUCGAGCGAGCGGCGGACGGGUGAGUAAUGUCUGGGAGACUGCCUGAUGGAGGGGGAUAAAUACUGGAAACGCUAGCUAAUACCGCAUACCCUCAGAUGUGCCCACAUGGGAUUAGCUCGUGGGUGGGGUAACGGCUCACCCAGGAGACGAUCCCUAGCUGGUCUGAGAGGAUGACCAGCCACACUGGAACUGAGACACGGUCCAGACUCCUACGGGAGGCAGCAGUGGGGAAUAUUGCACAAUGGGCGCAAGCCUGAUGCAGCCAUGCCGCGUGUUUGAAGAAGGCCUUCGGGUUGUAAAGCACUUUCAGCGGGGAGGCGUUACCCGCAGAAGAAGCACCGGCGAACUCCGUGCCAGCAGCCGCGGUAAUAC